GCUCCUGUGGCUCAAUGGAAGAGCAUCCGACUUCUACGGUUCCAUACUUGGCGAAGAGAAGCUCAUCGGAAGGUUGUGGGUUCGAGCCCCACCAGGAGUG